ACUACGGGUGGCAGCAGUGAGGAAUAUUGGUCAAUGGGCGGAAGCCUGAACCAGCCAAGUAGCGUGCAGGAUGACGGCCCUACGGGUUGUAAACUGCUUUUAUACGGGAAUAACGCGCCUUACGUGUAGGGCUUUGCAUGUACCGUAUGAAUAAGGACCAGCUAAUUCCGUGCCAGCAGCCGCGGUAAUACGGAAGGUCCGGGCGUUAUCCGGAUUUAUUGGGUUUAAAGGGAGCGUAGGCCGCAUGUCAAGCGUGCUGUGAAAUGUCCGGGCUCAACCCGGGCCUUGCAGCGCGAACUGGCGUGCUUGAGUCCGCGGAAGGCAGGCGGAAUUCGUCGUGUAGCGGUGAAAUGCUUAGAUAUGACGAAGAACCCCGAUUGCGAAGGCAGCUUGCUGCAGCGGAACUGACGCUGAUGCUCGAAAGCGCGGGUAUCGAACAGGAUUAGAUACCCUGGUAGUC
rnacentral:rRNA from 1 species